GACGAACGCUGGCGGCGUGCUUAACACAUGCAAGUCGAACGGAAAGGCCCUGCUUUUGUGGGGUGCUCGAGUGGCGAACGGGUGAGUAACACGUGAGUAACCUGCCCUUGACUUUGGGAUAACUUCAGGAAACUGGGGCUAAUACCGGAUAGGAGCUCCUGCUGCAUGGUGGGGGUUGGAAAGUUUCGGCGGUUGGGGAUGGACUCGCGGCUUAUCAGCUUGUUGGUGGGGUAGUGGCUUACCAAGGCUUUGACGGGUAGCCGGCCUGAGAGGGUGACCGGCCGCAUUGGGACUGAGAUACGGCCCAGACUCCUACGGGAGGCAGCAGUGGGGAAUAUUGCACAAUGGGCGGAAGCCCGAUGCAGCAACGCCGCGUGCGGGAUGACGGCCUUCGGGUUGUAAACCGCUUUCGCCUGUGACGAAGCGUGAGUGACGGUAAUGGGUAAAGAAGCACCGGCUAACUACGUG
rnacentral:rRNA from 1 species